rnacentral:rRNA from 1 species
UACGAAGGGGGCUAGCGUUGCUCGGAAUGACUGGGCGUAAAGGGCGCGUAGGCGGUUUGUACAGUCAGAUGUGAAAUUCCUGGGCUCAACCUGGGGGCUGCAUUUGAUACGUAUGGACUGGAGUGAGGAAGAGGGUCGUGGAAUUCCCAGUGUAGAGGUGAAAUUCGUAGAUAUUGGGAAGAACACCGGUGGCGAAGGCGGCGACCUGGUCAUUUACUGACGCUGAGGCGCGAAAGCGUGGGGAGCAAACAGG